GAUAAACGCUGGCGGCGUGCCUAACACAUGCAAGUCGAACGCCCUUUUGCGCAAGUGAGAGGGAGUGGCGGACGGGUGAGUAGCACGUGGGUAGCUACCCCAAGAUGAGGAAUACCACCGAGAAAUACGGUGACAAGACCGCAUACCUUCGGCCACGAAGAAAGCUUCUCCUCACGAGAGGCGUCUUGGGAUGGGCCGUGCGCCUGAUUAGCUGGUUGGUGAGGUAACAGCUCACCAAGGCGACGAUCAGUAGCUGGUCUGAGAGGAUGAUCAGCCACACUGGGAUUGAGAACGGCCCAGACUCCGUACGGGGGGCAGCAGUGAGG
rnacentral:rRNA from 1 species